AGAAAGCUGUGUUUUUCUCUGUCUGGGAUGCCUGUCUGAAACCAAGGUUUUCCGAAGGAAAUCCUUCCGACUUCGAAGAGAAUCCCAUGGCGCUGGACUGGUUGAAAGGAGUUUCCCACGAGCACUCUCGUUGAGUACUUCUUCUCAAUCUGCCAGCCUGGCGUGGAAAAUGCCUGAGGAACCGCUGAAGUCACAAACAUGUUUCUACAAGGCAACGUCUUCUAUUACUGAGUGGUAGUUUUGCAGCGAUGUGAACAAAUACCACUUCAUAACAGACGAGAAACAGAGAAAAGGGCACAGAGGAGACCAAUACAAAACAGAGCCCCAGAAACAGGCCCUCAGUGACCUCCUUCCCUCAGCGAGGGGCCACCUUCCUCGUUUCACCCCAUGACAGAUCCCUCAAGGGAUCUGAGAACCAUCAUAGCCACAGCCAGGGAGAACUUCACUAAUCUCCUUGAUAUGUUUAAAUUAAACCAAUCAAGUUGACAAUCAGGACUAAUGACCACAGAGCCAUCUCCUGAUGCCCAUGGAUAGCCGUUUCCCUAGAGCAGGGGUUUUCAAACUGUAGGGUCUCCAUUUUUAAAUAAAGUUAAUUUUAAAAUUGUGUGUAUGAUGUUUGUGUGCCUGUGCACAUGCGCACGCACACACUCAUGUGUUCAGGUGCCUAUGGAAGCCAGGAGACUGUGUAGAAUCCCCUGGAACUGGAGUUACAGACAGACACUGGCGAGCAACUUCAUGCAUGCUGGAAACUGAACCCGGAUCCUUUGCAGCAGAAGUCAGUGCUGUUAACUGCUGGGCCAUCUCUCUACCACCCCUCCAGGAGCUCGUUAGAAACACUAUAUUGAGUGGAGCUCCAACGAGGCUGGCUGUGACCUCCUGUGAGAACAGCUGCCAUCUCCUCCAAAUGCUGUGAAAUCACAUCCAUGGCUAAAAUCUGUCACAGUGCGAAUAUUUACGUCACAGAAUUGGCAAACGCUGUUGUGAGGAUUAAUUUGGAUUGUCAAUUUGAUUGGAUUGGAAUCCACCAAGUGAUAUGCCUCUCGGGGGUGGGAGGUAAUUAGCUGAGUGGGGAGACUGUCCCCCACAGUGGGCAGCACCUUUCAGCCCUGGCCCAGAGAUAAGGAAAUCCGAGAGAAAGACAGGACCACACAUGCCAGCCUUCACUUCCUGCCACCGAGUGCCAUCUAUCCAUGGUUGCCACUGCUGUACUCUGCGACCAGGAGAGCCCCGUUUCUUCGGGCUUCCAUCCAGUGGCUCUCCAGGAGUUUCCCAGUAUUCGGCACCAGACUGCAGCAUCCAGCAACAUGGACUGAAGGGUCAACAGGUUCUCAGCCUCUUCAGCAUGUGGACAGUCAUUGUUGGACUAGCCAGCCUGCAUCACACCAGUGUCUCACUCCACCAUCACCAGAAAAGCUUCCUCCUACAGGAGGUGGGAAUAAAUACAGAGACCAACAACUGGGAAAUAUGCAGAAAGUGAGAGACCUUGGAACACUCUGUUCUAAAUGGGAUGUCUCCAUCAAAGCCCUUCCCCAAGGGCACAGGAGGAAGAGUUUCAUCCAUUUGCAUGCAAAUUCCAAGCCCUAAGCAAUAGAGGAGAGGGUGCCUGAACUGGCCUUACUCUGAAGUCAGACUGAAGACUAUCUUACAUAUCACCAUGGAACCUUCAUCCAGCAACUGAUGGAAAAAGAGGCAGAGACCCGCAGCAGAACUCUGGGCUGAACUUCAAAAGUCCAGUUGAAGAGUGGGAGGAGUGAGAAUAUGAACAAAGAGGUCAAACCAUCAUUGGUACACCCACUGAAACAGUCUACCUGAGCUAAUGAGAGCUCACCAACUCCAGCCAGAAGGAACCAGCAUAGGUUCAAACUAGUCCCUCUGAGUGUGGAUGACAGUUGCAUGGCUGGGGCAGACUGCAGGGCCACUGGCAGUGAC